CUACGCACUCCUACGGGAGGCAGCAUGGGGGAAUAUUGCACAAUGGGCGCAAGCCUGAUGCAGCCAUGCCGCGUGUAUGAAGAAGGCCUUCGGGUUGUAAAGUACUUUCAGCAGUGAGGAAGGUGGAUAUGUUAAUAGCAUAUUCAUUUGACGUUAGCUGCAGAAGAAGCACCGGCUAACUCCGUGCCAGCAGCCGCGGUAAUACGGAGGGUGCGAGCGUUAAUCGGAAUUACUGGGCGUAAAGCGCAUGCAGGUGGUUUGUUAAGUCAGAUGUGAAAGCCCGGGGCUCAACCUCGGAAUUGCAUUUGAAACUGGCAAACUAGAGUACUGUAGAGGGGGUAGAAUUUCAGGUGUAGCGGUGAAAUGCGUAGAGAUCUGAAGGAAUACCGGUGGCGAAGGCGGCCCCCUGGACAGAUACUGACACUCAGAUGCGAAAGCGUGGGGAGCAAACAGGAUUAGAUACCCUGGUAG
rnacentral:rRNA from 1 species